GACGCGGGCAGACAGAGAGGGGCCAAGACCCCGACGUGGCACCCAAAGGCUGCCGCUGCUGAUAAGGGAGGAAUUGGCUUCCAGAGCCAGGAGCCCCCGGUGUGGGAGAGAUGAGAUGCCUGGGUGUAGACAGAGCCAGGAAGGGGGCAGGGGCCAGGCACCUCACGGAAGUGGGGGGCCUCCCGCCAUCUCUACCUUCUGACUCCUGCUGGGGCCUGAGUGUCCCCAUAGUGCCCAUAGCUGCCGUGUACGGGGUACAGCCUGGGCCACUACGAGGGGAGAAGGGGGCUGGGCGCAGGCCUGUGUGUCCUCAGGGCUGUGUCCCCGAAGCCACCUCAGCGUGGGAAAGCACUGGAAGGCCCUGCAUGGCUCCGUCCCUCCCUCUGCCUCCCCCAGCAGCGUGAGAUGGCAGCCCUGGCCAGCCCCAGCCCUCCAGGGCCUGCAACUCGGGCACCUUGACCCCCCAAGAGACAUCACCACCCCCUCCCCCAACCCACCCAACAGCUGCCCACUGUGCCAGCAACCCCCCAGCCAGGCCCGCUCAGGGUUUGCUCCCUGCCCUCCCAGGGCUCUGCUCCUGCCCUUCUGAGUGGCACUGUGGUGCCCCUGCCGCCCCAGGCCCACCCGAUCCGGCCCUCCAGCCUCCCACUGAACCGGCCAGAAAUACAGCUGCUGUGCCCCAGAGGCCGCAGGCCCAGCCUCCCGCUUGGCCUCCCUCCCCUUCGGCACCCCGUCCUCUGGAGCAGCCUUGAGGGGGUCUGCAGUGGAGAGACACACUCUGGAUUGGGCCCUGUUGUGGGUUGAAUUGUCACCCAGAAAGGGAAGCGCAGAAGUCCUGACCUCCAGGGCCUCAGAAUGGGACCUUAUUUGGGAAUUGGGUUUUUGCCAAGGAUGGAGCUGAGGUUAUACUGGAGGUGGAGGCUCCUGGUCCAGUCUGACCUCUGUCCUUGUAAGAGGGGAGGUUAGGCAGGCUGCAGUGGCCCACACCUAUAGUCCCGACACUUUGGGAGGCUGAGGCAGGUGGAUCACUUGAGGUCAGAAGUUCGAGACCAGCCUGGCCAACAUGGUGAAACCCCGUCUCUACUAAAAAUACAAAAAUUAGCUGGGUGUGGUGGUAGUCGCGUGUAAUCCUAGCUACUCAGGGGGCUGAGGGAGGAGAUUCGCUUGAACCUGGGAGGCAGAGGCUUCAGUGAGCUGAAAUUGUGCCACUGCACUCCAGCCUGGACAACAGAGCAAGACUCUGUCUCAAAAACAAAGAAACAAACAAAGAAAACGGUCAGGCGCGGUGGCUCAUGCCUGUAAUCCGAGCACUUUGAGAGGCUGAGGUGAGUGGAUCACCUGAGGUUAGGAGUUCGAAACCAGCCUGGCCAAUGUGGUGAAACCCCAUCUCUACUAAAAAUACAAAAAUUAGCCAGGCCUGGUGGCGCAUGCCUGUGAUCCCAGUUACUUGGGAGGCUGAGGCAGGAGAAUCACUUGAAGCUGGGAAGCAGAGGUUGCAGUGAGCUGAGAUCACACCAUUGCACUCCAGCCUGGGCGACAAGAAUAAAACUCCAUCUCAAUUAAAAAAUAAAUAAAUAAAAGAGGGGGAGUUGGACACAGACGGACGCACACAGAGGGAAGAGAUGAGAGGCUACAGGGGCAGGCACUGGAAGACUGGGGUGAUGUGAUACAGCCACCAGCCAGGACAGCCUGGGGACACCAGAAGCUGGCGAGGCAGGAAGCUCCCCUGAGGUAUCCCCAGGUUUCAGAGAGAGCGUGGCCCUCCCUCCAGCCUCCAGAACUGUGGGACGAUAGAUUUCCUUUGUUAUAAGUCUCCACCUGGGUUUGGGUGUGGUGUGGCGGUGCUGGGGGAGGAGUUUAGGAAGAAAGGGAAUCAGACCUUCUCUGGGGUCUCCAGGGUGAAGGCUGAGGGGCCUAAGACCACCCGGAGGUGCCCCGUGCCCACCCUCCCGACGGAGCUGCGAGGCUGGCUCUCCAGCCUCUCCUUCCGCCCCCACCCACAUUCACUUUGUUUUCUCUCCUCCGUGCUUUCAUGACCAAAAAAAAUAUUUUUUUACUUUUUCCAUGUUUUUUUUUUAAAGUAAUUACAGAGCAGGUAGUCGUUGACGCAAACCUCCCUUC
rnacentral:lncRNA from 1 species